rnacentral:rRNA from 1 species
UACGUAGGGUGCAAGCGUUGUCCGGAAUUAUUGGGCGUAAAGAGCUCGUAGGCGGUCUGUCACGUCGGCUGUGAAAUCCCGAGGCUCAACCUCGGGUCUGCAGUCGAUACGGGCAAACUAGAGUAUUGCAGGGGAGACUGGAAUUCCUGGUGUAGCGGUGAAAUGCGCAGAUAUCAGGAGGAACACCGGUGGCGAAGGGCGG